rnacentral:piRNA from 1 species
UAGGUGAUUAAGGCAACUCAAAACAAUC